AGUGACGAUAGCCUAGGAGAUACACCUGUUCCCAUGCCGAACACAGAAGUUAAGCCCUAGAACGCCUGAUGUAGUUGGGGGUUGCCCCCUGUUAGAUA
rnacentral:rRNA from 1 species